rnacentral:tRNA from 1 species
AGCUCAGUAGCUCAGUGGUUAGAGCAGGGGAUUCAUAAGCCCAAGGUCGCAGGUUCAAAUCCAGUCUGAGCUA